AUACAGGCAAAGGCACUUGGACACUGCUGGUCAGUAAUUCGCUCUUUUGAUAGUCUGAUCGUGGACUAGUGAAGCGGUCUGUCUUUUCCCUCUCCCACCAGUUUCCUCCAUCUGCUUUGCGGAAUAGAAUGAGAGGGAAGGCGAAGAAGAUCAAAAUCUUCUUGCUUACUCUAUUACCAUCAAAAUUAUACCACAACUCCCAUCUGGAAAUUGCAUCUCCAAAAGAUUUGACGAAGUUAUAAAUGAGAUUGAUUCUAUAUUAAUGAGCCGACCAGGAACGAGCUGCUAGGGUAACGCAUGUGAUGUUAUCAUUCUUCCUGUUGUAGGAUUUUAUGCAGAAAAUAGCUGGCUUGGGAUCUAACGCUCAUAACCGGUUCUCUCAUCCUAUGUUCUACACAUGCAAAGGUAAGCAACACAAGUAUCCUGGUGCACGCUCUUCUUAAUAAUGAAGACACAAAUUCUGAUUUGAACGAAGAUUUACUGUUAUUCUCAAACCAACUGAGUCAUGAAAAAGUUGUAUUUACUGCGUGCGGAUUUUUCAACUUGGAUUUCACCCUUAUAAACACAGUGUUUGGUGCAGUUUCAACUUAUAUGAUCAUCCUCAUCCAAUUCCAGAUAACAUCAUAGGUGUAGCUAAAUAUUUAAAUGCACAAACAAAGCUUCAAGGUUUUAAUUUAUAGCUGCAUCAUAAUUAUAUGAGGAAAAGUGGUAAUUUUGGCAUCUUAAAUAUUAUAUGAUCAUCCUUAUAAAAUUUCAGAUAACAUCAUAAGUGAUAGCCAAAUAAUCAGAUGCACAGAUAAAAUUUAAAGUUCUAAUUUACAGCUUCAUAAAAAUUACAUGAGAAAAACUGGUCGCAUUUUGUCAUCUUUAAAUGAAAGCUCAAAUGAGAAAUGGAUAAUAAAAGUUUAAGAGCAUGAA
rnacentral:misc_RNA from 1 species